rnacentral:rRNA from 1 species
UACGUAGGUGGCAAGCGUUGUCCGGAUUUACUGGGCGUAAAGGGUGCGUAGGCGGACAGGUAAGUCAGUGGUGAAAUCUCCGAGCUUAACUCGGAAACUGCCUUUGAUACUCUCUGUCUUGAAUAUGGUGGAGGUAAGCGGAAUAUGUCAUGUAGCGGUGAAAUGCUUAGAGAUGACAUAGAACACCUAUUGCGAAGGCAGCUUACUACGCCUAUAUUGACGCUGAGGCACGAAAGCGUGGGGAUCAAACAGG